rnacentral:rRNA from 1 species
AGAAUGACUCUCGGCAACGGAUAUCUAGGCUCUUGCAUCGAUGAAGAACGUAGCGAAACGCGAUACUUGGUGUGAAUUGCAGAAUCCCGUGAACCAUCGAGUCUUUGAACGCAAGUUGCGCCCGAUGCCAUUAGGUUGAGGGCACGUCUGCCUGGGUGUCACAU